AGCUUUUCGAAAGCCAAAGACUUCAUAUUUCUUCGUCAAGCUAAUAGGCGAUGGGCUUGCUUCAACCGAACGUGAGAAAUGGGCAAGGCAAAGGAAACUGGCCAAUUAUGCCUUUCAUGGGGAGAGCUUAAAAGUAAAUCAUCUCUACCUUCUAAUCUAAUUAUUGUAGUGGACAUUUACAAACUUGAUAAUUUUUUGCAGAAUAUGACUCCAGCAGUAGUUGCUAGCGUUGAAACCAUGCUUGAGAAAUGGAAAAGUAAGGAGGGCAAAGAGAUAGAAGUGUUCCAAGAGUUCAGAUUAUUGACUUCAGAAGUGAUAUCCAGAACCGCCUUUGGUAGCAGUUACUUGGAAGGGGAGAAGAUUUUUGACAUGCUGAUGAAGUUGACAGUAAUUGCAGGCAGAAAUAUUUUUAAAGCAAAGAUUCCCAUCAUCAGGUAACUUCAUCAAAUCUUUACUUUGUUAAUCAACAUACUUCAGCUUACAAUGGGUUGAUUUAAUCUGGUUGUCCUUUUCAGCAAGUUUUGGAAAUCUGCUGAUGAAAUUGAAUCAGAAAGAAUUGCCAAAAUGAUACAUGAUUCUGUGAUGAGGAUUGUUAAAAAAAGGGAAGAGAGAGUAGUGAACGGAGAAGCUGAUAACUUCGGUCGUGAUUUUCUGGGAUUACUUAUAAAUGCUUAUCAUGAGGCGGACCAGAAAAACAGGCUUUCGAUUCAAGAUUUGGUAGAUGAGUGUAAAACUUUUUAUUUUGCUGGGCAAGAAACAGUCAAUUCCUUGCUGGCAUGGGCAACUCUGCUUUUAGCAAUACACACCGAUUGGCAAGACAAAGCAAGAGCAGAGGUGAUUGAGGUCUUUGGUAAUCAAAACCCAGAUUCUGAAGGGAUGGCCAAAUUAAAGACGGUAAGCAAACUAUACAAAUUCAAUAGCUUGAAAACUAACACUGACCAUUUAUAUUGCCUUUUGGAUUUUUUUUUUCUCCAACAGAUUACCAUGAUUAUCAAUGAAACUUUACGGCUCUAUCCUCCUAUAAAUCGCGUGAUAAGAGAAGUAGGAAGAGAAGUCCAAUUAGGAAAACUUGUCCUGCCUACUCAUUCAGAGGUCGACAUGCAAAUCAUAGCACUUCACCAUGACCCUGACUUAUGGGGAGAUGAUGUUAACCUUUUCAAACCAGAGAGGUUUGCUGAAGGGAUAGCGAAAGCUACUAAGUACAAUGCAGCUGCAUUUAUGCCUUUUGGAUUGGGACCUCGAUCUUGCGUAGGCAUGAGCUUUGCAAUCACUGAAGUGAAAACUGCACUUUCCAUGAUUCUGCAACGCUAUACUUUCACCGUCUCCCCUACCUAUGUUCACGCACCUGCACCACGUCUUUCACUCAAGCCACAACAUGGGAUUCAGUUGUUGUUUCAUUCACUACAUUAUGAUGCUUAAAAUUCUAGGCUGUUGGUCUCCAAUAUUGUAAUAUAUAAUAAAAUGUGGAUGAUACUGUAUUUUGCAACCAUACGAUGAUAUAUGGUUUGGGGAUUUCAUGUUUUGGCAACAAGAUUAUAUGCUUUUUGUUGUUGUUGAUAUUGUUAAAGGUUAAAAAGGUAUUACAGCAAACAUCGCCACCGCAGGAGCAGGCCCUACGGUCCACCAAAGAGAAAUCAAUUCAAACUACCCCAAAAAGCUGGAACGGCAGCAGCAAAUCGAGUCAGCUCCCUGAACAUCAUACAGCAACACAGAAAGAAGAACAUCACAACCCAGUCAUAUACACGCCAUGAAGACAUUGGACUCCACAUUUUGCUAAAGUAUCAGCAAAGCAGCUAGAUUCUUUAUACACAUUCACAAUGGAGACAUUAUGGGAUCUCAUCACAGAGCUUAGAAUAUGACCCAUCCAGCAUUUGAGAAACAGUGAAGAUGUCAAGUCCAGGAGCUCCAAACAAUGCCUUGGCCGCUGGAUCCUAUAAUUAGGUGUCUUUCUUCCAUUACUACUGCAGUAGUGAAGUUUUUAUUCCACUUGGUUCCCAUCUUCCAGAGUUUCUGCUUGAAACACUCACUCCUGGAGCCGGCCAUUACAUUGCUUGUUAGCUUUCAUGGAAGGCUCGAAGCUCAUUAGACCAGAAACAUUGUUACUUUGCCUAUGUAUCUAUUUGACAUAUUCUCUUAAGGAAGAGCUACUUAUAUCAAGGCUCCAUCUUUCUGAGUUGCAGGGCAAAAGUCCGUUCUCCAUGCAAAACUACCCAUUUCCACUAAAGCACACUAGCUUUCGCCAUCCCAUCCGCGAAAAAACCUGAAAUGAUACACCAGAAACUCCCUCAAGACAGACAGAGCCAAGUCACUUUCUCGCUAAUCCCCAUUGAACCCUCCAAUUAAGCAAAGCCAUUUCAUAUUUCAACCCAAUGGCCACCACAAUUGCCGUACAAAAUUUACAAAUUAAAAUGCAAAAAGUAAUACAGAAAAAUACACAGCCCAAGCUCCAAUAGUAACAUAAACAUUCAUUUUAUAACAAUAAAGUUAAAGCCACGAAUAUUUUCAAAAAAAUUCAAUUAAGCCCUUGAAUGUUAAAAUUUCAAUCAAUUAAGCUCUUUGAUAGUUAAAGUUAACAGUUAAUUGUUAUAGUUAAAAUUUCAAUCAAUUAAGGUACGGUGUAGCGUUUGUUUACCCAUCGUUUAACCAUGUGGUUGAAGGUUCGAUCCCCACUUAUGGAAAUGAAGCACAUUUCAUAGUCAGUCAUUUACCUAUUUGGAGAGCACUUAUAGUGAGAAGAUUAACUACUGUUGUUGUUGGUGAAUUCCCUGAUUAUUACAAAUAAAAAAUAACAAUUGUCAUUUUUUUUGGAUUAUUUUUGCCACGUGCCAUGCUAAGAUUGUGCCACGUGGUAUAAAAUUAUAAAAAUCAUAUAAAAAUUAUACAAGAAUUAUAAAAAUGAAUAAAAUUAGAAAAAAUAUAUAAAAAAUCUAUUUUUAAAAGGUUAAUAAAUUUAAUAUUUUAUUAUUUUGAAAAGGAUAAUAAAUUUUUAAAAGGUUUUUUUAUUCUUAAAUUUUUAAGGGCUAUUUAAAUUUAAUUUCAAAAUAAAGCAUGCCUAAUAUAUAAAUAGACAUUUAAUUGGUGUCCAACAGGAAUGGCGUCACUCCUAUUUUUCAUCUAGUUUAAAAAUGAUAAUUAAUUCAUCAGGUGUCUGAACAUUUUUAUUUAUUCUUCAAUUCAAUGUCACAAAAAACAAUGACAACAUCCAAAAUAUUUUUUUUUUUUAAAAUGAGUCACCGACAUUUAUGGUUUAAAAUGAGUUUCAAAAUAAGUUAUUUUUAUAAAUAAUUAAAAGUUUUGGGUAUUUUUAAUAAAAAAAGCCUAAGUUUGAUGAAUGGCGUCAGCCAUUAUGUAGGUCUACUUAAUACGAAAACGACGGCUUGAUUUUGUUGGCCAAAAGGAAAGUACCUUUUGGGUUUUGCUUUGCCCAAAUGCUAGCAAAGUCUUUGCAUGCAUUUGUUUGAUUGGAAAAGUGAGAAAUAGAUGAACAUGGUAAGCACAAAUUCUAGACAUUACCAUAUCACCUAUAAAAUUUAGUUAUCUUUUUAAUUUCUUUUGGUGUAUUAUAAAAAAAAAAUUCUAAUAACACGACUUGAAUCAAAUCAUAUCUUAGUCAAGAGAUGGGGUUAUUUUAAUUUUUGUUUAUAAAAAAAAAAUCUUGUUCAUUGAGGGCCCUAGUAGGAGGUAUUGAAUAAUAACUAGAAGUCAAAUCCUGCACGCUUCCCAUUUCUGUGUAUUGAAUUGGCUGUAAUUUUCAAAGGACAUGAACCUUGAAGAGGGACAAGUGUAGUCUCUUGAUGAUAAAUGUGUUGACUGUCACCUUGCAAAACCCAGAUUACCAUAACAGAUGCAAAAUCUGAUCGGUGAAGAUAAGAAAAUGGAGACCAUGGGAAAUCUUCUAAUCCUGUUUACAGCUUCUUUAUGCCUCUAUCUUUUCGUUGCUUUGCUCAAUGUUUUCUACAAGUAUUGCUGGAUACCUCAACGGGUACAGUUCAUCAUGAAUUCACAAGGAAUCAGAGGACCUCCUUAUGAAUUUAUCCAUGGAAACAACAAAGAAGCUGCCCAAAUGCUCAUGGAAGCAUCUACCAAACCUAUGGCCUUGACACACGAUAUAUUUCCCAGAGUCAUGCCUCAUGUUUACUCCUGGAUCAACAAAUACGGUGAGAAUAUGUUUUUUUUAUCUUUUUUGGGUAGUAUUUUCUGAUUAACCUCCACUUUCCAUGAAGAGAAAUCAUUUUCUUUCAGGGAAGACUUAUCUUAGUUGGAAUGGAAUUCGAGCUCAACUGCUAAUUACAGACCCAGAUCUAGUCAAAGAGGUCCUUAAAAACAGUGACAAAGCUUUUCGAAAGCCAAAGGCUUCAUAUUUCUUCGACAAGCUACUAGGCGAUGGGCUUGCUUCAACCGAACGUGAGAAAUGGGCAAGGCAAAGGAAACUGGCCAAUUAUGCCUUUCAUGGGGAGAGCUUAAAAGUAAAUCAUCUCUACCUUCUAAUCUAAUUAUUGUAGUGCGACAUUUACAAACUUGAUCAUUUUUUGCAGAAUAUGACUCCAGCAGUAGUUGCUAGCGUUGAAACCAUGCUUGAGAAAUGGAAAAGUAAGGAGGGCAAAGAGAUAGAAGUGUUCCAAGAGUUCAG
rnacentral:lncRNA from 1 species